GGGUCACUGAUGAGAACCUUAUACUUUCCUGAAGAGAGAUGAUGACUUAAAAAUCAUGCUCAAUAGGAUUACGCUGAGAGGAAGCCU
ensembl:snoRNA SNORD115 Small nucleolar RNA SNORD115